rnacentral:lncRNA from 1 species
GCCUGCAGGGAUGGGGGUUUGGGGGGCACUGGGACUCGGAUGCUGGAGUGAGAACUGAGUCAACCUUGCACUGACCAAGUGGGACUGGGGGUGCCUAGUGGGACCUGGCAGGACAAGAGGGGCCUGGCGGGAACUCCAUAACCUGAACCUCGGGAGAAAAGCACCCCCUCAGGGCAUGCUGGGGAGAACGGAGGAGAUAAGGCAGGUGGGUGGGAGGCUCCCUGGGGGACCCACAUAGAGCACUCAGGAAGUGUCACCACCAUUACCGUUUCUGGACCUCAUAGAAGGGCUGCUUAAUCUGGAGCUGUGGGUGCAGGGACAGAGGAGGGCUUCCUGGGGGAGGUGAUGUUGGGGCUGGUCCAGCAGCAGGAGUGGCUCUCCCAGAUAGUGAGGAGACAGCACGCACAGAGGCUCGAGGGAGAGAGCAGGCGUGUCCAGGAUGCCGAAAGCAACUUGGUUCGGCCACAGCGGAGGGCCGAGGAUGCCACAGGGAAUGUCAGCUUUGGGAACAGGUGGCAGGGAGGCACGUGGCUGCUGGGCUCUUCCUCAGCUCCCCGAAGUGGGAUGUGAGCAGGGUCCACCGCACAGAGUUGAGGACUGCAUCAAGGGGGCUGGGAUUGGGUGCGUGACACUAAGGUUCACUGGGGCCUGUGGGAUGGGCUUGCUGGAGGUCACCGGCGUGGUUCCAGCAGAGGUGAGUCACCACAACCCAGGAGUCGGGGCCUCCCUGAUGUGCUCACCACCGUGCCCCGUCAUCACCUCCUGCUCUUCUCCCUCCUCCGCCCCCCCCGCCCCCGUUUCCCUCUCUCCUAUAGCCUUCUUCCCCCAUCCUCCUUUCCACCAACACUUAAAGUGCGCUUCCUGUAUGCCAGGCUCUGUGCUCUAUCAGCACGGCCUCAUUCGACCUUCCUAAGAGCCCUGUGAAGUCGCUGUCAUUAUCAACCCAUUGUGUUGGUGCUAAGACCGAGGCCCACAGACACCAGUCACGCGUCUCAGGGCACUCAGCCCCUCACCCCAACCUGCUCUCCAGGGGCUCGGAGCUUGGGCCCCGUCUCGGAAGAUCGACAGCCACCUAGGAAAUGAACGAGCUCGCUGUGGCCGGUGCCUCUGGGCAGAGCCCUGACCCGCGGCUGGACAGGAAAAGAAAGGCAUCUGCCGCACUGGGCGGGACACAGCCCCUCCCAGAAAGUUCCCGAGAGCGGUCUGGCCUGGAAUUGCAGGCGGACUGAAGACAGUGGGUGGGGUGUGGGUGAGGCGUUUUAUUGGCUUUCGCUUCUCCCAGGGUGCAGGCAGCUCGCCGCAGGUCCCCACAGUGGAGCUGAGCAAACUCACACGGAUGCGAGCUUCCUUCACUUCAAACUGAUCUAUGAAUCUACACGGAGGACAGAGACCGGCAAGGAAACAGGAAACCGGACAGAGCAGCCACAGGAAGUACCCCUCCUGUCCCUCACCCCCCACCCCGGGCCCACCCCCCAAGCUAGUGCAUCAGAGACAAACUCACCGGGUACCACAGGGGAGGGGAGGGUGGGGUACCACAGGGGAGGGGAGGGUGGGCUUCCCAGGGAGUUGGGGAGGGGGGUGUGAAUGCAUUAGCAUGUCCCAACCAAAGCAGGAGGAGAAAGGAAGAAGAUAAUCGAGGGUGCUAAAAAUAGUCAGUCUUCCCUAACUCCGCUCACGCCCAGGUCCAGACGUCUCAACUCCUCGGUGCUUUCUAGUAAGAGCAAAAAGCGAGGUGCUCAGGCUGCCCGCGGCUCAGGGACCCUCCACGGUUUGUCUUUCAGGAAAGUGGCUUAGCUGGGGAGCUUGGUCCGUCUUCUGGGCAGACAGGGACUACCUACCCUGGGCUCGACGCAUGGAGGGCACGGGCUCUUAGGGCCAUGUUGCGGAGAGAGGAAAUACUGCCUCUGACGACGGGGGGGGGCUGCAUUCCCCGUGGCUGGCCCCUGGGUUUGCAUUGGGCAUCAUUUCCCCAGCUGGAUGGAGGUAGCUGGAGAGUGGGUUCCCAGGGAGACCCUGGUGCCACUGGGAGCUUGGUGCAGAGUGGGCUCCAUCGAGGUCUUCACACGGAGCCGGAGCACAGGAGGGCUGGCCUGGGACCUUGCUCCCUGAUCCUCCUGAGAAAUGGAGGCCGGUGGGAGAGCUCGGGCCUGUCUCCCCUGGGAACCACAGCUUGAAGGGCCCCUGGAGGCCUGGCCCACCGCUCACGGGGACAUAGUGGGUCUUUUAGCCCCCAGCCCACGGCUCUGUCUGUCCUCCCACGGCUGGCUCAGGACUGGGCUGUGCAUCUCAGGUGGACACUCCAGCAGCAGGUGGUUGUCCUUGUCCUCCCUCUUUCAGCAAAAACCAGUCAUGGCUGAGAAUCCCAAGGGCCUGGCAGCCCCUGGAACUCCCCCUUCUAGGGGGAUCUGCACGGAGGUCAGAUCAACCAGUGCCUCAGCUGCCCGGCACCUGAAGCCGGGGGUGGGUAGAGGCAAGUGUGAGGGGAGACAGAGGCCCCCGCUCUGGCUGGAGGGACGGAAUACUCAGUCUGCAAUCGCCAGGGAAGGCUCAUGCCACGGGCACCUAGUGUUGCCGCUGCCACCCCGUCCUUGAACAG